AACGAACGCUGGCGGCAGGCUUAACACAUGCAAGUCGAGCGCAUCCUUCGGGGUGAGCGGCGGACGGGUGAGUAACGCGUGGGAACGUGCCCUCUUCUACGGAAUAGCCUCGGGAAACUGAGAGUAAUGCCGUAUACGCCCGCAAGGGGAAAGAUUUAUCGGAGGAGGAUCGGCCCGCGUUGGAUUAGGUAGUUGGUGGGGUAACGGCCUACCAAGCCGACGAUCCAUAGCUGGUUUGAGAGGAUGAUCAGCCACACUGGGACUGAGACACGGCCCAGACUCCUACGGGAGGCAGCAGUGGGGAAUCUUGGACAAUGGGGGCAACCCUGAUCCAGCCAUGCCGCGUGAUCGAUGAAGGCCUUAGGGUUGUAAAGAUCUUUCAGCUGGGAAGAUAAUGACGGUACCAGCAGAAGAAGCCCCGGCUAACUCCGU
rnacentral:rRNA from 1 species